GCCCGGCUAGCUCAAUCGGUAGAGCGUGAGACUCUUAAGUGAUCUCACGAUUCCUGAAUCUCAAGGUUGUGGGUUCGACCCCCACGUCGGGCU